GGAUUUCUUAAGCCCAAGAGUUUGAGGCUACAGUGAGCUAUGAUCACACUAUUGCCCUCUGGCCUGGGGAAUAGAGCAAGGCCCUGCCUCAAGAAAACAAUUUUUAUUGGAAGCUGCAAAGCAGAAGAAUGUAUAUCUAAAAUUUCUAGACCAAAGAAAGAAAUCUAAGCAAACAGUGGGGAGAAGUCUGAAACACAUCAACUUGAACCCUCAGUCUCCCAAAGAUUCAAAACUGAAGGCACAAGAUACCUCUGAAGCCAGGGGUAUGGUUAAAUCUGCAAGUAGUAAGUGGGUUUGAAAGCUUAAAAUAAGUAGCAGUUAGAGCCAGUGUGUCCUCCUCCUUUACCCCAUGCAGCAGAAUGACUGUCUUUCCGCCACUGUGUCAGAAGAUGGGUGUUUUAGUCUCUGGGAAAAUGGAGCCAGAGGGAUCUGGUAUUGAAAGCUUUAUGAGAAGGAGAAGGUAAAACAAAAAGGAAAGGUUUCAGUGAAAGUUGACACUGAUGACUGAGGUCCACCUCCACACCCUCUUUCACAUUUAGCUGCCAGGAUACUGACAGCAGGCCUAUACUCCCCAAGCAGGAGAUGGGGGUAUUCAUUUCUGGGGAUGCUGACGAGACCAUGAGAAAUACCUAGAGACAGAGUUUGGGAUACUCCAAGGAAAUGGCCACCACAUCACUUGAGAGUACAGCCCAGUGGACAAGUCCUCUGCCCACCAAUGAAACUAUGCUCAUGAAAUGAGAAUAUACAUCAGGAAUCAGGAUGACAACCCCAUAGUACUGAUAGGAGCUAGAGAGCAGCAAAGCAAUGCCUUCAAAAUUCUGGGGUAAAAUAUUUUUCCACUUAGAGUUUUAUAGCCAGAAAAGCUAUUAAUCAGAUGCAAGGUUAGAAUGAAGACAUUAGUAGACGUUUAAGGUCUCAACAUAUUUUCACCUAGGCUUGUUCAGGAGGUCCUUGAAACAUCUGCUCCAGCAAAAUAAACAGAAUAAAACAAGAAAGAGAGAGAGUUCUAAGCUCCAGGAAGCAGAGAAGCAAAGAGGAUUGUGUUGAUGACAAGAAUGUCCCACGGCUACAGCUGUUCCAGAGAGCAGCAGAACUGCUUGUCACAAGAGGACAGAGGGCUCCAAGGGGAACUAGAAGAGCGACAACUUACUCAUUAUCAAGAAGACAGUACCAAGCCAUUCAUGAGGGAUCCAUUCCCAUGACCCAAACACCUUCAAACAGACCCCACCUCCAACACUGGGGAUUAAAUUUCAACAUGAAGUUUGUGGGACAAACAUCCAAAGUACAGCAAUAUCCUGUUUCACAGACAGCAAUAGGUGAUAUCUAAAACUAAAGGAUCAAGAAAUAGGAGAUAAGUGUGUCAUAUAGAUUGCAUAUGGUAAGUAGCAGAAGAAACAGAAAAAGAGUUUAAAGUGUCUGAUGUAUUAGUUGGAAAAACAAAGAACAAAACUACAGCACAACAAUGUGAAGUUUCAGAAUUCAAGGAACAAAAAGAAAUUCCUAAAAGCUUCCAGAGAGGUUAAAAAAUAGUAGAUGACAAAUCUCCUACAAAGGGGAUUGGGUGUGGGGAAGAAUGGGAUGAAGAGCCUUUUAAAUGUAAGCUUGUAGUAGUACCUAAUUUUAAAAAUUAUGUUCUUUUGUUACUCGAUAACAAAUAAAUCUUCAAUUUAAAAGCA